GGGGCUUAGCUCAGUUGGGAGAGCGCUUGAAUGGCAUUCAAGAGGUCGUCGGUGCGAACCCGAUAGGCUCCA
rnacentral:tRNA from 1 species